rnacentral:rRNA from 1 species
GACGAACGCUGGCGGCGUGCUUAACACAUGCAAGUCGAACGGAAAGGCCCUGCUUUUGUGGGGUGCUCGAGUGCCGAACGGGUGAGUAACACGUGAGUAACCUGCCCUUGACUUUGGGAUAACUUCAGGAAACGGGGGCUAAUACCGGAUAGGAGCUCCUGCUGCAUGGUGGGGGUUGGAAAGUUUCGGCGGUUGGGGAUGGACUCGCGGCUUAUCAGCUUGUUGGUGGGGUAGUGGCUUACCAAGGCUUUGACGGGUAGCCGGCCUGAGAGGGUGACCGGCCACAUUGGGACUGAGAUACGGCCCAGACUCCUACGGGAGGCAGCAGUGGGGAAUAUUGCACAAUGGGCGGAAGCCUGAUGCAGCAACGCCGCGUGCGGGAUGACGGCCUUCGGGUUGUAAACCGCUUUCGCCUGUGACGAAGCGUGAGUGACGGUAAUGGGUAAAGAAGCACCGGCUAACUACGUG